UGACAGGCAUUUUAAUGGUGAACAGCCUGAGGCAGGUGGUGGUCAGGUGACAACUCCAGUCUUCACUCCUACCAAGGGCCUGCACUCACUGCCAGCAGGAUCGCGUGGUUGGUGCUCUUCUGGAGCAGGACAGAGCAGUGUGAACUGGUUCACAGCGUCCUCUCAUGCUCUUAGCUCCAGGAGAGGAGGGAAGAAUGAAGGGAAACUAGGGCAGCAGAUUGUCUCUGACUCUUGGCACUGUCCCCAGAGACCCUCCUACAACAGCCAAGUGCAGGACCUGCUCACCACAGGAAGAAACAGGUCCUGCAGGGACUCAGGGACAGAGUUGCAUAAAAGGUUUGGUGGGAAGGAAACUCGAUUCAACAAAGUCAAACAUACCUGAGUGCCUACGAUGCACACGGCGCUGGCCUGGGCAGGACAGUACAGAGGGGUGAGCUAUAGCCGGGGCAGACAGCAACCAACAUCAGCAGGAACAGAGGCUGGCGCCUGUCCCAACACCCGGCGACCCUCAGGCCUUCAGCUGCCGGCUGCAGGUUAGUCCGUGAUCCCUGCAGUGGAGUGGGAGGCAGGGCUUCGAACCCAAGCCCUGUCCCCCUCCAUCAGCCCCACCCAUUUCCUUCACAUUGAAGUGUUCUGCCUCUGCUGCCUGUCCCCAUCCUACCCCAGCGCAGGCACUGGGAAGCACUUCUCCAUUCACAACGCCCCUUCACAAAGAGGUCUCGGUGGAACCUUACAAUAGGACGCACACAAAGUCCACUUGACCGGAAAACCGAGGCCAGACCACACCGUCAGUGCCAAACACCGUCAGGCCAGACACCGUCAGUGCCAAAGCCAGGCCUAGAACCCACGUCUCUGCCUGUUGGUUCCGGGCUAUUUCUGCUAGUCAUUCACAACAGUUUCUAAAAUUAAUAAGAAAUGAUAAGUAUGCGAAAGUCCAUACAUGGAAACGUUCCCGUGAGAUGCAAAAAGAACAAGGCACAAACGAGCUGACACGGCCAGGUUCGUAGUGUCCGUGUUUGUUCCGCUCCCCACCGGCCCCUGGGCCCCUCCAGGGCAGGGGCAUGGCCGUAUUGACGCCUGUGACCCCGGGCACCUGGCGCGGUGCUGGCACCAACAUCCCGAAAUGCGCCAGCCUGGGCACCUCAGGGCCCGGCUCCAAGACCCGGCCCGUGCGACCCCUGGGGCGCCCCCCUAGUCUGGCCAGGCGCGGGGAGCCCCUGCGGCCACGAACCUCUGUCCCGCGGCGGACGGUCCCAGCCCCCUCGGAAAAGUUGCGAGGCUCCCGUCGCGGCGAGCCAACUCCCGCCGCCCCUCGGCGCGACCCCCGCCGCGCCGGCUCACUCACUCAUGCUGGGCCGCCAGGUGGUUGAAGACAUAGGUGACCGGGAUGGCCGAGAGGGACAGCACGAAGACCCCGGUGGCCGCAGAGGCACUCAUCGCAGCCGCCGCGCCGCUCGCCCUUCACCGCAUCCCGCUGGGCGCCCCGCCCCAGCUUCCGGCGGCGCCCGCGCC
rnacentral:lncRNA from 1 species